rnacentral:lncRNA from 1 species
GUAUGGUGCUGGGUGCAGAUGCAAUGUGGCUCUGGAUAGCACCUUAUGGACAGUUGUGUCCCAAAGGAAGGAUGAGAAUAGCUACUGAAGUCCUAAAGAGCAAGCCUAACUCAAGCCAUUGGCACACCGGCAUUAGACAGAAAACUGGAAGUUGAAAUGGUGGAGUCCAACUUGUCUGGACCAGCUUAAUGGUUCUGCUCCUGGUAACGUUUUUAUCCACGGAUGGCUUGCUUGGGUAUGGAGAGUCGGCUUGACUACACUGUGUGGAGCAAGUUUUAAAGAAGCAAAGGACUCAGAAUUCAUGCUUGAAGAAAUGCAGGCAGACCUGUUAUCCUAAACUAGGGUUUUUAAUGACCACGACAAGCAAGCAUGCAGCUUACUGCUUGAAAGGGUCUUGCCUCACCCAAGCUGGAGUGCAGUGGCCUCUGAAGCUUACUACAGCCUCAAACUUCUGGGCUCAAGUGAUCCUCAGCCUCCCAAUGGUCUUUGUAGACUGCCUGAUGGAGUCUCAUGGCACAAGAAGAUUAAAACAAUGCUCCAAUUUUAAUAAAUUUUUGCAAUCCA